UGGGGGACCCAGAGCCAUAUGAGACUAAGGGUCUUUAUUCUUUGAAGCAAGUACAUUUUAUACUGUUCUCAACAGGCAGAGAAGCAAGGAAGAAGAUGCAGCUGCAAGGCUAAAAAUUGUUGCUGGGAACCAGUCAUGCUUUAGGCAAAUAUUUAAAAAACACUGCGGCCUUGUUAAUGAUUUAUAGAUAGGCUCUCCCCUGAUUUCUUGGGCACUAGAGAGUGUCUCAAGGGCCUGUGUGCUCUGCCCCAAUUCUCAGGAUGCUGAGCCAAGAAAACUAUCUGUAGUCUCCUUGUUCUGGCAUGCCAGGAACCUCGGAAUCAGUCACGUGAUCAUCAGGAGGCGAGCAGCACGUCCUGAGACGACCUCUCAAAGCAAACUGUGGAAGACUGUUGCCUGUAUCGUCAGAGGUGAAGAUGAGCUGUCUUCGGAGCAGUUUCUCAUGCGUUAACCACAUUCUCUGCAGACAAGUGUAACACAUUGGCUGAUGGGCCCCUCAUCAAAUGAAAAUGAACCACUUUUAUCAAUGAGAACGUGGAAAGCACAGAAUAAUGCUGUCUUGGGCUUAUAUACUGAAUAUGGAGUUUGGAGUUGGAGGAUAAUAGACUAUUAAAAAAUGAGAAGAAAGACC
rnacentral:lncRNA from 1 species